rnacentral:rRNA from 1 species
AACGCGAAGAACCUUACCCAGGCUUGAACAGCGAGUGACAAACUACGAAAGUGGUCUUCCGCAAGGACACUCGUAGAGGUGCUGCAUGGCUGUCGUCAGCUCGUGUCGUGAGAUGUUGGGUUAAGUCCCGCAACGAGCGCAACCCUUGUCUUCUGUUGCCAUCAGGUCAAGCUGGGCACUCUGGAGAGACUGCCGGUGAUAAACCGGAGGAAGGUGGGGAUGACGUCAAGUCAGCAUGGCCUUUAUGUCUGGGGCUACACACGUGCUACAAUGGCCGGCACAAACCGUCGCGAGCCCGCAAGGGGGAGCUAAUCGGAGAAAGUCGGUCUCAGUUCGGAUCGUCGGCUGCAACUCGCCGGCGUGAAGUUGGAAUCGCUAGUAAUCGCGGAUCAGCACGCCGCGGUGAAUACGUUCCCGGGCCUUGUACACACCGACGCGUA